GACGAACGCUGGCGGCGUGCUUAACACAUGCAAGUCGAACGAGACGAUUGAAAGCUUGCUUUUAAAAGUCGAGUGGCAAACGGGUGAGUAACGCGUAGACAACCUGCCUUUGAGAUGGGGACAACAGUUCGAAAGGACUGCUAAUACCGAAUGUUGUAUAUUUUCCACAUGGAAGAUAUAUUAAAGAUGGCCUCUAUUUAUAAGCUAUCGCUCAAAGAUGGGUCUGCGUCUGAUUAGCUAGUUGGUGGGGUAACGGCCUACCAAGGCGACGAUCAGUGGCCGGUCUGAGAGAAUGAACGGCCCCAUUGGGACUGAGACACGGCCCAGACUCCUACGGGAGGCAGCAGUGGGGAAUCUUCCAAAAUGGACGAAAGUCUGAUGGAGCAACGCCGCGUGAGUGAAGAAGGGUUUCGGCUCGUAAAGCUCUGUUGUCGGGGACGAAUGUGCAGUAUUUGAAUAAAGUACUGCAAUGACGGUACCUGACGAGGAAGCCACGGCUAACUACGUGCCAGCCGCCGCCGUAAGAC
rnacentral:rRNA from 1 species